CUUCAUGAGAUUCUUUUUCUGAGCACAAGCAGAUUACGGUGUUAUCAGCGUUGGGGGUGGGUCAUGCAAUUUCAGAGAGGAGAAAAGAGGAGGGUGUGGCUGAGGAGAGAACAUAAAUACUGGCGUUGGACUGGGAGGUUGGACGGGGAGGUCCGCUGGUGACAAUAACAGAAAGGGGCGUGAACAGGUGGCACGGGCUUCAAGAGGAUUCCAAGGGUAUGAAAGCAGCAACAAAGACCAAACAGGUGAACAAGCCUGUGUUCGAGUAUGAGACCACAUGGAAGAGGAAGCCACACCAGCUGGGACCAUUUUAGGCCAGCCAGGCCCCAGCCAACCCAGGAGCUGACCACAGAAUCAUGAGUGAGCAAAACAGAGCCUGGAAAACUUGCCCAGCUUGGCUUAGCCCAAAUUGCCAAGCGACACAAUGAAAAUAAAUCAGGCCCUAAGCAUUUAAAGGCAACUGGCUUGAAGGUAUCCAAGAUGGUAAAACUUACAAAUAAAAUAUAGAAGAGAGAAUUAAAGGCUGUGCAAGAUGACAGAAUUUCUAGCUUGAGAAGACGCCAUGGUACAUCCGGAUCAUCUCCCAUCACGGUCAAGGUGGCUUCAAAUUC